rnacentral:rRNA from 1 species
CACUAAAGCAUUAAGCUCUAAACACGAUUGUUAUUCUAAAGUUUAGAAUUUUGAAUUUAGUAAUUAUUUGCCUGCCUGCCGCAGGCAGGGAACUUAGAGUUUUAUUUUUCCAAGCUCAAAACCGCCCCGCACGGCGGGGCGGUAUUAAGCUUGCUCCGACGAAGUCGGGCUGAGCGCAGCGAAGAAAAAGAAGAUACCCCGACCGUAAGGUCGAGGGAGCUUCAUAUUUAGAAUUUAUGUGAAGGUAGGUUUUCCCGUCCUGCGUAUGAGCGGGGGUUGUAGGGUUUAUCUUUUAAAACACGAAGAGAUAGUAGAAAAUUCUGGAAAGGAUUACCACAGAAGGUGAGAGUCCUGUAUACGAAAUUUCAUAUUGUGUUUGUGAUAAAUUCCUGAAUACCUCGGGACACGUGUAAUCCUGAGGGAAGCUGGGGCGACCACGCUCCAAGGCUAAAUACCCUCAAAAGCGAUAGUGAACAAGUACCGCGAGGGAAAGAUGAAAAGAACCCCGGUGAGGGGAGUGAAAUAGAACCUGAAAUUGUGUUGCCUACAAAGCGGGUAAAGGUCGCCGAUUCGGCGACUAAUACCGUGCCUAUUGAAGAAUGAGCCGGCGAGUAUGUUCCGUCUGUUAAGGUUAAGAGCUUCAGGCUCGAAGCCAAAGGGAAACCGAGUCUUAAAAGGCGAAAGCACGAUAGGCGGAACUUGACCCGAAACCGAGUGAUCUAUCCAUGGCCAGGGUGAACCCGUUGUAAAAGACGGGGGAGGCCCGAACCCGUGUCUGCUGCAAAAGGCUGGGAUGAGCUGUGGUUAGGGGUAAUAUGCCAAUCGAACUCGGAGAUAGCUGGUUCUCCCCGAAAUAGCUUUAGGGCUAGCGGUCGUUGAUCCAAACGGGGGUAGAGUUACUGAAUGAAUCGCUGGGGGAGAAAUCCUUCGCAUUCAACCAAACUCCGAAUACCGUUUUUACAAACGACUAGUCAGAACAGCGCGGCUAAGCGCGUUGCUCAAGAGGGAAACAACCCAGAUCGUCAAUUAAGGUCCCUAAAUGGAACUCAGUGGUAAAGGCGGUGGAGGUACAUAGACAGCCAGGAGGUUGGCUCAGAAGCAGCCAUCCUUUAAAGAGUGCGUAACAGCUCACUGGUCGAUCGUACUUCUGCGCCGACAAUUCAACGGGGCUCAAGUUUCAUACCGAAAUUGCGAAUUUCCCGCCGACUCGGCGGGGAGUGGUAGGGGAGCGUUCUGUCAGCAGUGAAGCCCCGCCGUAAGGCGAGGUGGAGUAAACAGAAGUGAGAAUGCCGGCAUGAGUAGCGUCUUGGACGUGAAAUUCGUCCACACCAAAAACCCAAGGUUUCCUGGGCAACGUCAAUCGACCCAGGGUUAGUCGGUCCUAAGCCGAGGCCGAAAGGCGUAGGCGAUGGACAAGUCGUUUAUAUUCGACUACUAAGAAAGGUUCGUUAUCAAGUGAUGGGAUAACCGAGGUAGACAACCAAGCGGAUUUAAGGAAUUAAUUCCGUCUAAACGAUAAGGAAGUAGAAUGUGGCAAAUCCCAUUUUAUGGUUAUCUGAGUCGUGAUGGUCCUGCAAAACGCAAGUGAUGCGGGAUUGGUCAAUGUUUAGCUUGCAAGAAAAAUCUCUAGCGAGAACCUUUUUUAUCCGUACCUAAAACCGACACUGGUGGGUGAGUUGAGAAUACAAAGGUGAACGAGAGAACCCUUGCUAAGGAACUCGGCAAAUUAAUGGCGUAACUUCGGGAGAAGCCAUGCCCCCGCUUGGCGGGGGCCGCAGGAAAACACUCCAAGCGACUGUUUAUCAAAAACACAGGUCUCUGCUAAAUCGUAAGAUGAUGUAUAGGGGCUGACGCCUGCCCAGUACCGGUAUGUUAAAUGCGAAGGUUAUUCCGCCGAGAGGCGGGAGAAGCUUUCAAGUGAAGCACCGGUGAACGGCGGCCGUAACUAUAACGGUCCUAAGGUAGCGUAAUCCCUUGUCGGGUAAACAAUCGGAAUUUGCCCGAAUUGUACUGUAAAGUAUGAUAAGUAAACUAGCUAAUAACGGGGAAACCUUCUUCUUAAAGCUACCAUGAAUUUAAGAAAUGGUAAUCCCGUGGGAAUCCUCGCCGAUUCGGCGGGGGAACCCCUAACGACUGAGUCGAAAGACGAGAUCUCGUUUGAUUAUGAUAUAAUUUAGCCAAACGAGAUAAUACGCUAGCUCUUGCCAGAAGAAAGGUGUCAUGGAGUUUCCUUCUUUUGUAACAGGAUUUUCAGAUGGUGAAGCUUGUUUUUCUGUCUCUUUCAGUUUUAGAAAGAAACUUAAAACAGGUAUUGAAGUAAGACCAAGUUUUUGCAUUGCUCAGCACAAACGAAACUUGUCUCUUUUAAAAGAAGUACGAGAUUACUUUGAUUGUGGAAGUAUAAGAUUCAGUAAAAGAGAUCAAAAUUAUAAGUUUGAAGCUAGAAGCAUCAAAGACUUAACUGAUAAAGUAGUCCCUCAUUUUAGAAAGCAUAAACUGCAAUCUACAAAGAAAGAGGAUUUUGAAAAGUUUGACAUAAUUUGUCAGCUUAUUUCAAGUAAUCACCACCGCUCAAAAGAUUAUCUAGUUCAAAUAAUUGAACUGGCUUAUCAAAUGAAUGAGAGCGGUAAAAGAAAACAUACAAAAGAAAAGCUUCUAAAACACUUAAGCAAGAUGAAGAGAUAGUCUGAUUUUUUGUGGAAACACAAAGACAACAAAUGAAGUUCCGACCUGCAUGAAAGGCGUAACGACUUGGAGAC